rnacentral:rRNA from 1 species
GUAACGGCUCACCAAGGCAACGAUGCAUAGCCGACCUGAGAGGGUGAUCGGCCACACUGGGACUGAGACACGGCCCAGACUCCUACGGGAGGCAGCAGUAGGGAAUCUUCCGCAAUGGACGAAAGUCUGACGGAGCAACGCCGCGUGAGUGAUGAAGGCUUUCGGGUCGUAAAACUCUGUUGUUAGGGAAGAACAAGUACGAGAGUAACUGCUYGUACCUUGACGGUACCUAACCAGAAAGCCACGGCUAACUACGUGCCAGCAGCCGCGGUAAUACGUAGGUGGCAAGCGUUAUCCGGAAUUAUUCCGCGUAAAGCGCGCGCAGGCGGUUUCUUAAGUCUGAUGUGAAAGCCCACGGCUCAACCGUGGAGGGUCAUUGGAAACUGGGGAACUUGAGUGCAGAAGAGAAAAGCGGAAUUCCACGUGUAGCGGUGAAAUGCGUAGAGAUGUGGAGGAACACCAGUGGCGAAGGCGGCUUUUUGGUCUGUAACUGACGCUGAGGCGCGAAAGCGUGGGAGCAUACAGGAUUAGAUACCCUGGUAGUCCACGCCGUAAACGAUGAGUGCUAAGUGUUAGAGGGUUUCCGCCCUUUAGUGCUGCAGCUAACGCAUUAAGCACUCCGCCUGGGGAGUACGGUCGCAAGACUGAAACUCAAAGGAAUUGACGGGGGGCCCGCACAAGCGGUGGGAGCAUGUGGUUUAAUUCGAAGCAACGCGAAGAACCUUACCAGGUCUUUGACAUCCCUCUGACAACUCUAGAGAUAGAGCGUUCCCCUUCGGGGGACAGAGUGACAGGUGGGUGCAUGGCUUGUCGUCAGCUCGUGUCGUGAGAUGUUGGGUUAAGUCCCCGCAACGGAGCGCAACCGUUGAUC